CCCUACGGGGUGCCGAGGUAGAGCGAAUAGCCUGUGUCAGCCUUGCCAGCUUUGAUGUCGAUGUACCAAUCGCCUUUUUCCGGGAGGUAGUCCCGGUACCAGGUCCAACCCUGGCUGAAGUCGACCAGCUUUGUGCCGCUGGCGCUCGAGAUCGCGAUAUAUGCUCCGCUCGCGCCAUAAAGAGAGAUAUCCAUUAACUGGCUCUUGUUAGCCCAGAAAACGUACCGCCUGGUGGUAUUGGCAGACAUUUGACCAUCAGCGGUGACGUUCGUGGUACCGGUGGCAAAGUUGAGCCGAUAAACCUUAUCGGGAGCAGUGGUUGGCCCAGUGGUUGCGGUUGGCGGGAGAGC
rnacentral:rRNA from 1 species